CCUACGGGUGGCAGCAGUGAGGAAUAUUGGUCAAUGGGAGAGAUCCUGAACCAGCCAAGCCGCGUGAGGGAAGACGGCCCUAUGGGUUGUAAACCUCUUUUGUCGGAGAACAAAACCCGGGACGUGUCACGGUCUGCGUUUAUCCGAACAAAAAACAUCGGCUAACUCCGUGCCAGCAGCCGCGGUAAUACGGGGGAUGCGAGCGUUAUCCGGAUUUAUUGGGUUAAAAGGGUGCGUAGGCGGUCCGUUAAGUCAGCGGUAAAAUCGCGGGGCUCAACCGCGUCGAGCCGUUGAGACUGGUAGGCUUGAGUGGGCGAGAAGUAGGCGGAAUGCGCGGUGUAGCGGUGAAAUGCAUAGAUAUCGCGCAGAACUCCGAUUGCGAAGGCAGCGUACCGGCGACAGACUGACGCUGAGGCACGAAAGCGUGGGGAUCGAACAGGAUUAGAUACCCGGGUAGUC
rnacentral:rRNA from 1 species